rnacentral:rRNA from 1 species
GAACGCUAGCUACAGGCUUAACACAUGCAAGUCGAGGGGCAGCAUGGUCUUAGCUUGCUAAGGCCGAUGGCGACCGGCGCACGGGUGAGUAACACGUAUCCAACCUGCCGUCUACUCUUGGACAGCCUUCUGAAAGGAGGAUUAAUACAAGAUGGCAUCAUGAGUCCGCAUGUUCACAUGAUUAAAGGUAUUCCGGUAGACGAUGGGGAUGCGUUCCAUUAGAUAGUAGGCGGGGUAACGGCCCACCUAGUCUUCGAUGGAUAGGGGUUCUGAGAGGAAGGUCCCCCACAUUGGAACUGAGACACGGUCCAAACUCCUACGGGAGGCAGCAGUGAGGAAUAUUGGUCAAUGGGCGAGAGCCUGAACCAGCCAAGUAGCGUGAAGGAUGACUGCCCUAUGGGUUGUAAACUUCUUUUAUAAAGGAAUAAAGUCGGGUAUGGAUACCCGUUUGCAUGUACUUUAUGAAUAAGGAUCGGCUAACUCCGUGCCAGCAGCCGCGGUAAUACGGAGGAUCCGAGCGUUAUCCGGAUUUAUUGGGUUUAAAGGGAGCGUAGAUGGAUGUUUAAGUCAGUUGUGAAAGUUUGCGGCUCAACCGUAAAAUUGCAGUUGAUACUGGAUAUCUUGAGUGCAGUUGAGGCAGGCGGAAUUCGUGGUGUAGCGGUGAAAUGCUUAGAUAUCACGAAGAACUCCGAUUGCGAAGGCAGCCUGCUAAGCUGCAACUGACAUUGAGGCUCGAAAGUGUGGGUAUCAAACAGGAUUAGAUACCCUGGUAGUCCACACGGUAAACGAUGAAUACUCGCUGUUUGCGAUAUACUGCAAGCGGCCAAGCGAAAGCGUUAAGUAUUCCACCUGGGGAGUACGCCGGCAACGGUGAAACUCAAAGGAAUUGACGGGGGCCCGCACAAGCGGAGGAACAUGUGGUUUAAUUCGAUGAUACGCGAGGAACCUUACCCGGGCUUAAAUUGCAGAUGAAUUACGGUGAAAGCCGUAAGCCGCAAGGCAUCUGUGAAGGUGCUGCAUGGUUGUCGUCAGCUCGUGCCGUGAGGUGUCGGCUUAAGUGCCAUAACGAGCGCAACCCUUGUUGUCAGUUACUAACAGGUUCCGCUGAGGACUCUGACAAGACUGCCAUCGUAAGAUGUGAGGAAGGUGGGGAUGACGUCAAAUCAGCACGGCCCUUACGUCCGGGGCUACACACGUGUUACAAUGGGGGGUACAGAGGGCCGCUACCACGCGAGUGGAUGCCAAUCCCCAAAACCUCUCUCAGUUCGGACUGGAGUCUGCAACCCGACUCCACGAAGCUGGAUUCGCUAGUAAUCGCGCAUCAGCCACGGCGCGGUGAAUACGUUCCCGGGCCUUGUACACACCGCCCGUCAAGCCAUGGGAGCCGGGGGUACCUGAAGUGCGUAACCGCGAGGAGCGCCCUAGGGUAAAACUGGUGACUGGGGCUAA